ACGAACGCUGGCGGCGUGCUUAACACAUGCCCGUCGAACGGAAAGGCCCUGCUUGCAGGGUACUCGAGUGGCGAACGGGUGAGUAACACGUGGGUGAUCUGCCCUGCACUUCGGGAUAAGCCUGGGAAACUGGGUCUAAUACCGGAUAGGAGCCAUUUUUAGUGUGAUGGUUGGAAAGUUUUUUCGGUGUAGGAUGAGCUCGCGGCCUAUCAGCUUGUUGGUGGGGUAAUGGCCUACCAAGGCGGCGACGGGUAGCCGGCCUGAGAGGGUGGACGGCCACAUUGGGACUGAGAUACGGCCCAGACUCCUACGGGAGGCAGCAGUGGGGAAUAUUGCACAAUGGGCGCAAGCCUGAUGCAGCGACGCCGCGUGGGGGAGGACGGCCUUCGGGUUGUAAACUCCUUUCGCUAGGGACGAAGCUUUUUGUGACGGUACCUAGAUAAGAAGCACCGGCUAACUACGUG
rnacentral:rRNA from 1 species